rnacentral:rRNA from 1 species
UACAGAGGGGGCAAGCGUUAUUCGGAAUUAUUGGGCGUAAAGGGCGCGUAGGCGGCUUGGCAAGUGGAUGGUGAAAUCCCUCGGCUUAACCGAGGAACGGCCGUCCAAACUGCUUCGCUUGAGACCGGGAGAGGUGAGUGGAAUUCCCAGUGUAGCGGUGAAAUGCGUAGAUAUUGGGAGGAACACCAGUGGCGAAGGCGGCUCACUGGACCGGUACUGACGCUGAAGCGCGAAAGCGA